AUUGAACGCUGGCGGAAUGCUUUACACAUGCAAGUCGAACGACAGCACGGACUUCGGUCUGGUGGCGAGUGGCGAACGGGUGAGUAAUGUAUCGGAACGUGCCCUGUCUUGGGGGAUAACGUAGUGAAAAUUACCCUAAUACCGCAUACGAUCCAUUGAUGAAAGCGUGGGAUCGCAAGACCUCGCGCGAUUGGAGCGGCCGAUAUCAGAUUAGGUAGUUGGUGGGGUAAAGGCCCACCAAGCCAACGAUCUGUAGCUGGUCUGAGAGGACGACCAGCCACACUGGGACUGAGACACGGUCCAGACUCCUACGGGAGGCAGCAGUGGGGAAUUUUGGACAAUGGGCGAAAGCCUGAUCCAGCAAUGCCGCGUGCAGGAUGAAGGCCUUCGGGUUGUAAACUGCUUUUGUACGGAAAGAAAAAGCUUCUCCUAAUACGAGAGGACCAUGACGGUACCGUAAGAAUAAGCAACGGCUAACUACGUGCCAGCCGCCGCGGUAA
rnacentral:rRNA from 1 species